UAACAAAAAUACCGAGACGAGAUCCAGAGGCCCAUUGUGAGAUGCAUAUCUGUAUUGAGAAAUCCAUAGAUUAGGGCCUAAUGAAUGUUUUUCAAUUUCCUCAUUAAAUUGUUGCAUGUUAAGUUUAUAUUUUUGUUCGGUAUUAGCGGUGACUAUAAGCUUGCUAGCUAACUCGACUAAAGACACUGGGCUAAGCUUUUGACCUAUGAUGUCACGUGGCAAAACAAGUAUUUGAACAACAAAAAAGCAAUGGUGAAUUGCAAGGGUAGAGAAGCAUAGACGUACCGAAAUGUUGUACUUUCUUCGCAUCAUAACAAAUAUACUGGGGAUUGUGCUGGUGUGUAAUCAUUAUACCGAUUCUGUUGCGUUUACGCCAAACGCAAACUAUAGUUUAUAUUGGACAAAUCCAGGCUUAAUCAGAAUGGAUCCUGAGGUCUCUGUGCUGUUGCACUGCACCGCCUGGGGAGGACUCCUGGAACCACAAGUGCAGGUGGAGCUUUCUGCCAGGUUUAACCGUCAGACAGAGCCAGCACUGGAGAGUCACAUAGAGGAGGUGUGGACAGAGAGGGUGACCAUGGAGCCAUGGCUUUUCAAUGGGGCCAAAUUCAGGCUGCACUCUUUCAGUCUGGCCUCACCCCAGCCCUCCUGUCCACCUACACCCCAGCUUCCCUGCAUGAAUGGAGAAGGAGACAGAUAUGGAAGGCAAUGUAGCAUUCAGGAGGAAGAGGGCCAACACGAGACAAAGGGGAACGCGGACUCUGAAAGAGCAGAGGUGCUCAGACACCAAAGAGAUCAAAUAGACAGAGUCAUAGGCGAACGACAGCAUAAUGACAAGGAUUUGAUUAGCUAUAAGCAGAGGGAAGGGAACCUCAGAGACACGCAAACCUCCACCCCAGGGUGCAGAGACCAACAUCCUGCUGUCCGAAGCAGUGCAAUAGAAGCUCAACCCUUCCCACAGAGCGAUGUCGGUGGGAAGUGUGAGGGGGCCACUCCCAUCCUGACCCUGAGGUUGGGCCUGACCUGCUAUAGGGACUUCCUGGGCACCAACUGGUCUCAGAGAGCAAGGAAGCUACGCCAGCGUGCGGAGGUGGAGUAUGGGGAUCCUCUGGCGCUAUUGGCCCAGCCGCUGGGGGUGGGUGGGGUCUUGUGUACGGCUGACAGACAGGUGGUGCUGAUCAGGAGGAGCCAGCAAGUGGCGGAGGCAAGGGGGCUGCUGGACAUCCCUGGGGGGCACCCAGAACCAAAGGCUGUGUUUAAAGGCCUCGAUGAGGAGGACAGGAUCAGGGUGGAGAUGCUGCAGUGGAGGGAGGAGGCUGUGGUCAGAGAGCUGUUCUCUUCGGUGUGCGCUGAGAUCAGAGACGAGGUAAAUGUUCCUCUGUGUUCUCUGGGUGAGCCGGUACUGAUGGGCAUCGCUCUGAAUCACACCAGUGCAGGCAGACCCAGUGCAGAGUUCUACAUCAGUUGUUCACUGACUUCCACAGAAGUUCGAGAGCUUUACUGGCAGGGGGGCAUUGAGGCCCAGGAGUCUACAGAUAUCGUGUUCGUGAGCCAAACAGAGGUGCUACGGCUAGACCAGAGCACCCCCCUGUGGUCAGAGUUGUGUCCUUCAGCCAAGGGUGCUGUGCUGCUCUAUCAACUAGUGCUGCCUGACCGAGAAGACAAAAGCAAUUGAUCAAACUCCAGCUACUGCACCGGAUAAAAUUUCCAGAUGAUGAAAUUAAUACAAUAUACAUUUUCUUCAACGAAAAAGCAGCGAUUUAAUGUUGUUGUUGCUUUAGAGACAAUACUGUUGUAGAAAGUUAAGCCCCCCGCUAUGAAAAUGUCUGAGGAAACAUUCCCUGAAUAUAAAGUUCCAGCAGUAUUUCAGAAAAAGAUAACUCCAUUACAUUUACAUUUAAGUCAUUUAGCAGACGCUCUUAUCCAGAGCGACUUACAAACUCCAUACAAACGUUGCUUGAUGUUUGACACUUAGGCACAAUAUUUCCCAACUUUGCAUACAAAUGCUGUAAGAUAAUGUAAGAUAUAACCUGUAUAGUAAAUCUUUAUAAAACCACCUGCAGAAUUUGCUGAUCUCUUUAGAUGUUUAACAGUAACCCUGGUAACGGUAACUAUCGUAAGCGUAGUUCCUGUUACCAUAGUAGUCCUGGUCUUGGUAAACCUGAUUCUCGCUGCCGUAAUAGUCCUGGUAACUCUGAUUCCACUAAACAGAGAGGGGGAGAGAGAGAAUAGAAUACAUAAUUCAUACCUUAACAGAAACAUUGACUGUGAGACUUUUAACAUGUGAGACUGUCUAAGGUGCUGCAAAAUCGGACUGUACUUCCUUGAGCUCUGUACACAGGGAGCUAGCCAAUCAGCAGACACUGCCUCCCCUUGCUGUCCUAUCAAAUAGCUACCUACCUGGUCCAGGAUGUAGUUGCGUGGAGUUUGAGCCGCCACCUUGAUCAGCUCACUGAGACACUGAGAGGCCUGCUGCAGCCUGCUCUCUCUACGACCCUGCCCCUGUGGAGAGGAACACAC